UGGGGGCCGGGGGGACUGAGCAGCUUUCAACAAUACAGCGUUUCCACUAACUAUCCCCUACGGCCCCAUUGAUGUGUAACCUGCGACAUCGUGUGCAGCUAUACAGACACCCUUGAAGUACACCUGAGAAAUUCUUCCUCAUUGUUUAAGCUGGUUACGAAGCACGUCGAGAGCUGAGUCGCGUAAUGGACUAAUAUUCGAAAAUGUGUUCAGGUAACUUGUGUUGAAAAUCGAUAAUUCCCUCGUACUUCUGAGCCGUUUGCUAUUAGGAUCGAUAGCGAUAAACAUACGGAACUUUUCAAUUGUAACCCCCCAUCAAAUGAUACUAGUAGAUGUAACUCGCUAGAGUGUCACUCAAGUGCGCUACAUAGAAGAACCUGAUCUGAUGGAGUGCAAUAUUAGUGUGAUGGCAGACCAGGGAUCUGAAACGCAAUGGCUCGGAGCGGUUUGUAAGUACGAAAGGUGCAGGAAGGUACAGAACAGUCUCAAAAGGAUUACCCGUUGGAGUUUAUCUGGACGACCCAAUUGGCAAUUGAUA